UACGGAGGAUCCAAGCGUUAUCCGGAUUUAUUGGGUUUAAAGGGUGCGUAGGCGGCCUUGUAAGUCAGGGGUGAAAGACGGUAGCUCAACUAUCGCAGUGCCUUUGAUACUGCAGGGCUUGAAUGUACUUGAAGUGGGCGGAAUGUGACAAGUAGCGGUGAAAUGCAUAGAUAUGUCACAGAACACCGAUUGCGAAGGCAGCUCACUAAAGUACGAUUGACGCUGAGGCACGAAAGCGUGGGGAU
rnacentral:rRNA from 1 species